GCUUGUGUAGCCUAGUUGGUAGAGCACAAGGUUCUUCACCUUGUGGUCUUUGGGUUCAAAUCCCAUAGUUU
rnacentral:tRNA from 7 species